rnacentral:rRNA from 1 species
UACGGGGGGGGCAAGCGUUGUUCGGAAUUACUGGGCGUAAAGGGCUGGUAGGCGGCCAACUAAGUCGGACGUGAAAUCCCCAGGCUCAACCUGGGAACUGCGUCCGAUACUGGAUGGCUUGAAUUCGGGAGAGGGAUGCAGAAUUCCAGGUGUAGCGGUGAAAUGCGUAGAUAUCUGGAGGAAUACCGGUGGCGAAGGCGGCAUCCUGGACCGAGAUUGACGCUGAACAGCGAAAGCUAGGGGAGCAAACGGG